CCUACGGGGGUCUGCAGUGAGGAAUAUUGGUCAAUGGACGAGAGUCUGAACCAGCCAAGUAGCGUGAAGGAUGACUGCCCUAUGGGUUGUAAACUUCUUUUAUAUGGGAAUAAAACGUUCCACGUGUGGGAUUUUGUAUGUACCAUAUGAAUAAGGAUCGGCUAACUCCGUGCCAGCAGCCGCGGUAAUACGGAGGAUCCGAGCGUUAUCCGGAUUUAUUGGGUUUAAAGGGAGCGUAGGUGGAUUGUUAAGUCAGUUGUGAAAGUUUGUGGCUCAACCGUAAAAUUGCAGUUGAAACUGGCAGUCUUGAGUACAGUAGAGGUGGGCGGAAUUCGUGGUGUAGCGGUGAAAUGCUUAGAUAUCACGAAGAACUCCGAUUGCGAAGGCAGUUCACUGGACUGCAACUGACACUGAGGCUCGAAAGUGUGGGUAUCAAACAGGAUUAGAUACCCCAGUAGUC
rnacentral:rRNA from 1 species